CGGGGUGGAGUAACGCGUGGGUAACCUGCCUUGUACAGGGGGAUAACAGUUGGAAACGGCUGCUAAUACCGCAUAAGCGCACGGCAUCGCAUGAUGCAGUGUGAAAAACUCCGGUGGUAUAAGAUGGACCCGCGUCGGAUUAGCUAGUUGGUGAGGUAACGGCCCACCAAGGCGACGAUCCAUAGCCGACCUGAGAGGGUGACCGGCCACAUUGGGACUGAGACACGGCCCAA
rnacentral:rRNA from 1 species